rnacentral:rRNA from 1 species
AACGAACGCUGGCGGCAGGCCUAACACAUGCAAGUCGAGCGAAGCCUUCGGGCUUAGCGGCGGACGGGUGAGUAACGCGUGGGAACGUGCCCUUUGGUACGGAAUAGCCCCGGGAAACUGGGAGUAAUACCGUAUGUGCCCUUCGGGGGAAAGAUUUAUCGCCAAAGGAUCGGCCCGCGUUGGAUUAGGUAGUUGGUGGGGUAAUGGCCUACCAAGCCGACGAUCCAUAGCUGGUUUGAGAGGAUGAUCAGCCACACUGGGACUGAGACACGGCCCAGACUCCUACGGGAGGCAGCAGUGGGUAAUCUUGGACAAUGGGGGAAACCCUGAUCUAGCCAUGCCGCGUGAUCGAUGAAGGCCUUAGGGUUGUAAAGAUCUUUCAGUGGGGAAGAUAAUGACUGUACCCACAGAAGAAGCCCCGGCUAACUCCGUGCCAGCAGCCGCGGUAACAC